rnacentral:lncRNA from 1 species
UGGUUUUGUCAUAAGGCUCGUGCUAUUUUGUGAAUUCUCGCCGGAUCAUCAGUGAAUAUCACUAUCUUCAGCUUCUGUUUACUGCAGCUUCUGAAUAUUGUAAAUUUUACAGGCUUAAAAGGAUGAUGCCAGAGGCUCUCAGCGUCUGGACUUGGUUAAAAUUUGUGGUGCAGAGAAAAGAGGAAGGAGGUGGAGUGGAAAUGAAGAUCUCCAUCUGAGCAGUGCCCUUCAUCUCCUGUGCCACCAUGAGGAACAGUCUCUUCAGACAACUAGCCUCAACAAGUAUGCCAAGGAUAGGCCAGGACUUUGCUUCCGCGCGGGACGAGAGGCGCGGGUGAUGGACGGAGCCGAUGAUGUGCCUGGAAGUUUUGGGCCGAGCCAAAAGCAGAAGGCAGCUGUUGACAGCUCAGUGAGGAGCUGCUGGUUUAUGAGUCUGGGGAUUUGAA